rnacentral:misc_RNA from 1 species
UCCGCCUUGGAGGCGGCAGUCUCCCGUGAAAGUUCAACACAGGAUGAGGGUUGCGCUCGUUCGCUGACUUAACAGUACACCUCAAGGCACGAGCUGACGACAACCGUGCAGCGCCUGUCUUCGGGUUCCUUGCGGCACCCCUCCGUUUCUGGAGGGUUCCCGAGAUGUCAAGCCUGGGUAAGGUUCUUCGCUUACUAUCGAAUUAAACCCCAUGCUCCACCGCUUGUGUGGGUCCCCGUCUAUUCCUUUGAGUUUUAGCCUUGCGGCCGUACUACUCAGGCGGCGUGCUUACCGUGUUAACUAAGGCACAGAGGUCAAUUGAAAAACCCCUACACCGAGCACGCAUCGUUUAGGGCGUGGACUAC